rnacentral:rRNA from 1 species
GACGAACGCUGGCGGCGUGCUUAACACAUGCAAGUCGAGCGGUAAGGCCCUUUCGGGGGUACACGAGCGGCGAACGGGUGAGUAACACGUGGGUGACCUGCCCUUAGCUCUGGGAUAAGCCUGGGAAACUGGGUCUAAUACCGGAUAUGACCUCAUGACGCAUGUUGUGGGGUGGAAAGCCUUGUGCGGCUAGGGAUGGGCCCGCGGCCUAUCAGCUUGUUGGUGGGUGAUGGCCUACCAAGGCGA